GAUGAACGCUGGCGGCGUGCCUAAUACAUGCCAGUCGAGCGAACAGACGAGGAGCUUGCUCCUCUGACGUUAGCGGCGGACGUGUGAGUAACACGUGUAUAACCUCCCUAUAAUACUGGGAUAACUUCGGGAAUCCGGAGCUAAUACCGUAUAAUAUAUUGAACCGUAUGGUUGAAUAGUGAAAUACGGUUUUUCUGUCACUUAUCGAUGGAUCCGCGCCGCAUUGGGUAGUUGUUAAGGUAAUGGCUUUCCAAGGCGACGAGGCGUAGCCGACGUGAGAGGGGGAUAGGCCGCACGGGAACGGGGCCAGGCACAAGACUCCUACGGGAGGGAGCAGUCGGGAAUGUUCCGCAGUAGGCGAAAACAUGACGGAGCAGCGCCGCGUGAGUGAUGACGGUCUUCGGAGCGUAAAACUCUGUUAUUAGGGGAGAACAAAUGUGUAAGUAACUAUGCACGUAUUGACGGUAACUAAUAAGAAAGCCACGGCUAACUACGUG
rnacentral:rRNA from 1 species